UACGUAGGGUGCGAGCGUUGUCCGGAAUUAUUGGGCGUAAAGAGCUCGUAGGCGGUCUGUCGCGUCGGCUGUGAAAACCCGAGGCUCAACCUCGGGCCUGCAGUCGAUACGGGCAAACUAGAGUACUGCAGGGGAGACUGGAAUUCCUGGUGUAGCGGUGAAAUGCGCAGAUAUCAGGAGGAACACCGGUGGCGAAGGCGGGUCUCUGGGCAGUAACUGACGCUGGAGGAGCGAAAGCCGUGGGGAGCGAAACAGG
rnacentral:rRNA from 1 species